CCCUUAGAUGUCCUGGGCCGCGCGCGUGCUACACUGACGCAUACAGCGAGCACUUUCCAGUUCCGAGAGGCUACUGGUAAUCAUCAAUAUGCGUCGUGAUGGGGAUAGAUCUUUGGAAUUCUGGAUCUUGAACGAGGAAUGCCUAGUAAUCGCAGGUCAUUAGCCUGCGAUGAUUAAGUCCCUGCCCUUUGUACACACCGCCCGUCGCUACUACCGAUUUCGAGUGGUCAGGUGAAUCUUUCGGACUGUGGGCGCCCUUGAGGUGUUCGCGGAAAGUCAGGUAAAUCUUAUCACUUAGAGGAAGUAAAAGUCGUAACA
rnacentral:rRNA from 1 species